UACGACGGGUGCUAGCGUUGUUCGGAAUUACUGGGCGUAAAGCGCACGUAGGCGGAUAUUUAAGUCAGGGGUGAAAUCCCGCAGCUCAACUGCGGAACUGCCUUUGAUACUGGGUAUCUUGAGUAUGGAAGAGGUAAGUGGAAUUCCGAGUGUAGAGGUGAAAUUCGUAGAUAUUCGGAGGAACACCAGUGGCGAAGGCGGCUUACUGGUCCAUUACUGACGCUGAGGUGCGAAAUCGUGGGGAUCAAACAGG
rnacentral:rRNA from 1 species